rnacentral:rRNA from 1 species
GACGAACGCUGGCGGCGUGCUUAACACAUGCAAGUCGAACGGGAGUAUAAAGAAAGCUUGCUUUUGAUAUACUUUAGUGGCGGACGGGUGAGUAACGCGUGAGGAGCUGUCCUGUACAGGGGGACAACAGAUGGAAACGUCUGCUAAUACCCCAUAAGCCUUCGGGUAAAAGGAUCAAUCCGGCAGAGGAGGUACUCGCGUCCUAUCAGCUAGUAGGUGAGGUAACGGCUCACCUAGGCGAAGACGGGUAGCCGGCCUGAGAGGGCGAACGGCCACACUGGAACUGAGAUACGGUCCAGACUCCUACGGGAGGCAGCAGUGGGGAAUAUUGGGCAAUGGGGGAAACCCUGACCCAGCGACGCCGCGUGGGUGAAGAAAUCCUUCGGGAUGUAAAGCCCUGUUGUAUGGGAAGAGCGGAAGACGGUACCAUACGAGGAAGCCCCGGCAAACUACGUG